AAGAAAGAGGAGGAGAGGAAGUGGUGGAGAAGAAGGAGGAGGGAGAGGAAGAGGAGAAGGAGGAGGAGAAGGAGGAGGAGCACCAGGAGCUAAAUCCCUGACUUCCCUAUCUCUGUGAGUAUUGCUGACUGAUUACUUCUGGAGCCAGAUAGCACACUGAGAACCAAUUAUGAAAAUGAUUUAACUGAAUAUUAACAUCCAUGGAAGGCAUAUCAAUAUUCCUGAGGGGAUUCAUCCUUGGGAGACAGAGCUACAUGGUAGAGGCAGCAGCUUAGUAUGUUCUUAAUGAGGAACACCUUCUCAAAGCUGAUGAUGUAAUAGGUCUGAAGGAACAUUUCUUGGGAGUCCGGGACCCAUCCCCUUCUGUCAGGGAUCACAGUGCUCCUGUCCUUGAAUACUGCUUGAGAGUGGUGGUAUUGCUUGCUUUCAUUCUAGCAGUAUGACCCUGACCACUGCUCCUUGCUUAGUCACUGAGUUCCUGGUCUUUCCCAGCCACUGACUGGAUAGGAACAGCAUAGACAUUGCAGCUACAUAUGGGAGCUCCUCUGCUGCACUGAUAACCAGGGAACACAUCAGAGAACUAACAUAGUGGGACCACCCGAGUUGGAGGCUCAGGACAGUCGAGUCUGGAUUCACUUUCUUCUGCAUGAGGCAGUAGACAAAAGCCUGGCUUUGGGAGAGCCCUUGUGUGGUGAAUGACAGAAACAGCACCAAAGACCCUGAGAUGAACUCAGAGCUCAGGGACAUCCUGGUACUACUGCCUACCUUGGAACAACUGUGGUUGUCAGUGCAGGUCACAGCCACAGGACAAGAGCUCUUCCAGCAGGUGUGUGACAUGGCACACAUUAGAGAAGCUCACUUUUUUAGCCUCAGUGUACUCAGAGCCUUGCAAACAGACAAAGAUGCAACCUGCAAGGGGGUAGCCUUGGUGCUGCCCAAAGACCCACUCUUGUCUCCAAUUUUUAAAGACUCCACUGAGAGAGGACCUGACUUGCUGCACACUGAAGCCACAGUGUACAGGCAGGAGUGUGUGCCUGUUUCUGUGUAUGCACUUGCAAGUGACAGACCACCACGACUGCUCAGGAUGACUCUGUAGCUAAGAGACAAGAUGUCACAGCCUAAAGAACCAUUACAAGGGGUUGCUAGGAGACUGAUGGGGACAAAGUCCAUUCACAGUUGCCUAGCUGUCAUGGGAAUGUAGAGCUCAUUCACCAAGAGUGAUUCGUUGCUCUAGAUAAGAAGAGCUUUCAGGAAUCCUGUAUCAGUGACCUGCUGGAGCUGCACCUGGACGUGGAGCAAAGCAGCAGGAACUCUCUGGACAAUGAGGACAAUAAGAGCAGCAGACAACAUCUCUUCCACUACCUCUCACUCUGCUCCAAAGGUGAGGAGCUCCCACACAGCAGGCAUCAAGCAGAACUCCCAGCAGGGAGAGUGUGAGAUGUCUGUGGAUGAACUUACAUGGACUGGAGCUUCUGUGGGAAGACAUCUAGUGGUUCCUGGAGCAGCUGCAGCAGGCAGGACACAUGGA